rnacentral:rRNA from 1 species
UACGAAGGGGGCUAGCGUUGUUCGGAAUCACUGGGCGUAAAGGGCGCGUAGGCGGCUUUGUAAGUCGGGGGUGAAAGCCUGUGGCUCAACCACAGAAUUGCCUUCGAUACUGCAUGGCUUGAGACCGGAAGAGGUAAGUGGAACUGCGAGUGUAGAGGUGAAAUUCGUAGAUAUUCGCAAGAACACCAGUGGCGAAGGCGGCUUACUGGUCCGGUUCUGACGCUGAGGAGCGAAAGCCAGGGGAGCAAACGGG